GGGAGCCCUUAUGUAGACCGGGCUAGUCCUCUCAGUUCGCUACGUAGCUAAGGAGGACUUUAUGCUUCUGAUCUCCCUACCUCCACCUCCCCUGUGUUGGGGUUCCAGCAAAGGCAACCUAAGAAAGAAGAGUUUGUUUUGGCUGGCAACGGAGAGGCAGAUGGAGCGAGGAGGCUGCUGGGUCACGUGGCGUGGCAUCCACCGUCAGGAAGCAGAGCGCAAUGAACGCUGCUCUUCUGCGCUCUGCUCGCUCCUUUUCAUUCAGUCUCCAAUCCCAUAAGUUGGCGAUGACGAUGAGCUGGAACAGCACUGGUCUCAUCCUGCUUCUGUCUGCUUUGCUGCCUUUAACCUUUGGGCCGAAAUCCUGCUCACAUACAGACCCGCUGGUGAGUUGAGAAAUAUUUUGUCUAGGGUGGGAGAAAUAGCUCAGCUAUUAAGGGUACUUGUUGCUUUUGCUGAGGACCCAGGCUCGGUUCCCAGCACCCACAUGAUGGCUCAAACUCCAGUUCCAGGGGACCUGAUGCCUUCUGGCCUCUUUGGGCAACAUGCAUGCACAUGGUGCACAUUCAUACAUACUGGCAGGCAAAACACUCAUAUAGAGUAAAUAAAUAAAUCUAAAAAACCUUUUUUUUCCUUUUUGGUUGUUUGAGACAGUGUUUCUCUGUAGCUUUGGAUGAAAAGAACUUUUUAAAAAGAGAAUGCUUUCUCCAAGGCUACAACACAGGGUUAAUCUAGUUACUUAGUCUCUUUCUUCCCCUUUCACAAUUAAGACACUCCCACUAUCCUCAAACUGGGCACGGUGGCUCCUCUUAGCACUGACCAUGGCAGAGGCGGAUGGACCUCAAGUUCAAGGACAGCCUGGCUCCAAUAAGUAAAUAGAAGCCAUGCCUUUAGGCUGCAGCUAUAGAAACCCUCUGACUCCCCCAGUCCACAGUAAGCAGCUCUUGCCAAGGGCUUGCUCGUCACGUGACUGCACAGGCCACGCCCUCAGGGAAGGGACUAUGGCAGCGCCCAGGAUGGCUUCAGAAAGCGGGCAAUCAACGAGAGGACGCUGAUGCGCCAGAGCGUCCACACCGGCGUCGUUUCUGCAGUUGCAUGCUGGGAAGGCGGGAACUCUGGGUCUAUGCACUGGACCUCCUCCCGGUUUUUAAAAGAGAGGGAAGGAAAAAAAAAAAAAAGCAAAACACCUAAACCCGAGAGACAGCAUGGUCUGACCUACCUGCGACCUCCCCACUUCUUGAGGACCCCAGGACCCAAGGCAGAAGGAUGAACUUGUGGCAUUCAAUAACUUUUUUUCCCCCAAACCCUUUGUGUCAACCCCUUGCCAACUUAUUGAGUGACCUCGGUGUCAGCCCAGCCUCUCCUUCCCAAACACACACACAUAAUCUGUUCUUUCCUCUGCGGAUCAGGAAGUCCAAUCAACCAGGGAACUCCGAACGAGACCUCAAAUAAUAAUUUCCUGGCGAUACCCCCAUCCUCCCUCCCUCCCAGCGUGAGCUCCCCAGAGUCUGGUGAUUCUGUCCCUCCCCCCUCCACCACGACCCUGUCAGGUCCCUAGAGCAGAUGAGCCCUUGGCCACCACCCCUCCAAUUUCCUGAAAACCCAGCAAACAAAAGGCUCGGGAAGGGAGGCGAA